rnacentral:rRNA from 1 species
CCUACGGGGGGCUGCAGUGGGGAAUAUUGCACAAUGGGCGCAAGCCUGAUGCAGCCAUGCCGCGUGUGUGAAGAAGGCCUUCGGGUUGUAAAGCACUUUCAGCGGGGAGGAAGGCGGUGAGGUUAAUAACCUCAUCGAUUGACGUUACCCGCAGAAGAAGCACCGGCUAACUCCGUGCCAGCAGCCGCGGUAAUACGGAGGGUGCAAGCGUUAAUCGGAAUUACUGGGCGUAAAGCGCACGCAGGCGGUCUGUCAAGUCGGAUGUGAAAUCCCCGGGCUCAACCUGGGAACUGCAUUCGAAACUGGCAGGCUAGAGUCUUGUAGAGGGGGGUAGAAUUCCAGGUGUAGCGGUGAAAUGCGUAGAGAUCUGGAGGAAUACCGGUGGCGAAGGCGGCCCCCUGGACAAAGACUGACGCUCAGGUGCGAAAGCGUAGGGAGCAAACAGGAUUAGAUACCCCAGUAGUC